AUUGAACGCUGGCGGCAUGCCUUACACAUGCAAGUCGAACGGUAACGCGGGGCAACCUGGCGACGAGUGGCGAACGGGUGAGUAAUGCAUCAGAACGUGCCCAGUAGUGGGGGAUAGCCCGGCGAAAGCCGGAUUAAUACCGCAUACGACCUACGGGUGAAAGCGGGGGACUCGCAAGAGCCUCGCGCUAUUGGAGCGGCCGAUGUCAGAUUAGGUAGUUGGUGGGGUAAAAGCCUACCAAGCCGACGAUCUGUAGCUGGUCUGAGAGGACGACCAGCCACACUGGGACUGAGACACGGCCCAGACUCCUACGGGAGGCAGCAGUGGGGAAUUUUGGACAAUGGGCGCAAGCCUGAUCCAGCCAUGCCGCGUGCGGGAAGAAGGCC
rnacentral:rRNA from 1 species